AGAGUUUGAUCCUGGCUCAGGAUAAACGCUGGCGGCGUGCCUUACGCAUGCAAGUCGAACGGUGUCUUUCGGGGCACAGUGGCGGACGGGUGAGUAACACGUACGUGACCUGACGCGAAGUGGGGGAUACCCGCCCGAAAGGGCGGCUAAUACCGCAUGUGGUCAUCGGGGGUGCCCGGUGAGUAAAGGAGGAAUCCGCU
rnacentral:rRNA from 1 species